GACAUGCUCAUUCAUUCUUAGGGUUAGCGCGUGGGACUUUUAAUCCCAAGGCUGUGAGUUCGAGUCUCACGUCG
rnacentral:tRNA from 1 species